UUUCACCUGACCUUUAUCCUCUCACAUGACCUUAUCCUUAUCCUCCUCCACUCGUUUUCUUUCCUGUCUCUUCUUCGUUCUCCUCCUGUUGGUCUUCUUUCCUCUCCUCUCGCCAUGAACGCCACACCGCCAUGGAUGUGGCCUUCAAGCACCCAUUCCCCCUCCGUCCCCUCUCUACCUCCAUGUCGCCGUGCGUCCUCACCACCACCUCCCGCAAAGCCCGUGUUGAGGCGACGACGAGCUACUCUGCGCCCCCCUCCCCUGUGAGCUUGAGGCGACGGCGCUCACACACCGGCGACACCAUUUUUUUGCAAGACGCCAUGCGGCUAUGGCUUUGUUUUUUAUAUUUAGCCAGUUGCAACUUUUUGAUUUGUCGGUUCCAGCUUUUUAUUUCGCCGGUUGUAGCAAUUUUCAUCCACGAGCACCAAUCUUUGAUUCAUUGGUUCCAACAUUUUUUCCCGUCGGUAGUAGCUUUUCACGUCGCUGGUUCCAACUUUUGAUUUCGCCGGUCGCAACAAUCCCACUUUCGACAGUAGCAACUUUUUGAGUCAUAGGUUGUAGCACUUUAUUUCGUCUGUAGUACCUUUUUGCUGGAGGAAGGGGAUCGAUGAAGUUUUUUUUGCUACAACCAUGUAGCACAGAAGCUUCAACCAUGCGUGCCAGAGCUGCAAACCAUGGUACACCAGAGCUACGACCGGAGACGCCCAUCACCGGCAAGGCUGCAACCGGCACGAGGCAGUGCUACAACCAGUGUUCAGCGAGCUGCAAGCGACACAACGACAAGCUUCAAACCUGAUGGGUCACCAUGCCGGCGAUGGCGACCAUGCCUGCGAGGGGAGCUGCAACCAUGGCGAGUUGCUGGAACCGUCUUUUAUUUUUGCUACGGCCAAAUUUUUUGCUAUGCUCCGGUGGCGAAGUUGCGGCGAGUGGUGGCGAGCUAUGGCGACGGACGUGGGGGCGGUGACCAUGCCGGCGGUGGGCAGCACCGGCGAGGGACGGUGUUGCAGUCGACGCCGUGGAGCUACCAUGGAUGCAACACGGAGGCAAGACAAAAGGCUGCUAUGGUCAACGACCUUUUUGUUGAGAGCGGCGACGGCGAGCAUCGGCAGUGAGCGUGUGCGGCGAGGCAAAUGGGCGUGGUUCGGCGAGCGCGGGUCAUCGGCGGCUGAGGACGAGCGGGGCGUUGGUCUCCCCUUUUUCUAUUUUUAUCCUCUGCUCUUUUGUUCUUCAGCGUUUUGUGUAAGGCCGAAUCGUACGGUUUAUAAAAGCUAUAUCGUGUGGCCCACGCAGGACCGGCCGAAACUAAUUUUGGCCGGCGCACCGGCGCAGAGUGGCGCCCAUUAGCUAGAGCCAAGACACACUGAGUCUGCAGAAAAUAAAAUAAUAAACCGAAGCACAAUGAUAAGAAUGGAAGCAAAAAAUGGUAAUAGGCCAAUAGCAUAUCUUAGUUUAAGAAUGCCAUAUCUACUGAUGUCUAGUGCCUAAAACCUACCACGACAGAAUUAGUGGUGCGAUUUCUUC